AAAAGCCCGCUCGCCGGAAGACCAAGGGUUCCUGUCCAACGUUAAUCGGGGCAGGGUGAGUCGACCCCUAAGGCGAGGCCGAAAGGCGUAGUCGAUGGGAAACAGGUUAAUAUUCCUGUACUUGGUGUUACUGCGAAGGGGGGACGGAGAAGGCUAUGUUAGCCGGGCGACGGUUGUCCCGGUUUAAGCAUGUAGGCUGGUUAUCCAGGCAAAUCCGGAUAACCAAGGCUGAGGUGUGAUGACGAGGCACUACGGUGCUGAAGUAACAAAUGCCCUGCUUCCAGGAAAAGCCUCUAAGCAUCAGGUAACAUCAAAUCGUACCCCAAACCGACACAGGUGGUCAGGUAGAGAAUACCAAGGCGCUUGAGAGAACUCGGGUGAAGGAACUAGGCAAAAUGGUGCCGUAACUUCGGGAGAAGGCACGCUGGUGUGUAGGUGAAGUCCCUGCGGAU
rnacentral:rRNA from 1 species